UACGAAGGGGGCUAGCGUUGCUCGGAAUCACUGGGCGUAAAGCGCACGUAGGCGGCUUUCUAAGUCAGGGGGUGAAAUCCUGGAGCUCAACUCCAGAACUGCCUUUGAUACUGGAGAGCUAGAGUCCGGAAGAGGUGAGUGGAACUGCGAGUGUAGAGGUGAAAUUCGUAGAUAUUCGCAAGAACACCAGUGGCGAAGGCGGCUCACUGGUCCGGUACUGACGCUGAGGUGCGAAAGC
rnacentral:rRNA from 1 species